rnacentral:rRNA from 1 species
AUGCCGCCGGACGGACACACCAACCAUCCAUCCAGUCCAGUACAGUCCAUGGCCGCCUCGUCUCCAACCUGCCACCCGCCCCUCUCCUCUCCCAACUCCCCGCUCCCAUGGAUGCCUACCGUUGCCGCUCCCCUCCCAUCCCCGCAGGAGGAGCAGUCAGCCAUUCAAGGCCACCUCCUUCCUUCCUUGUCUCCCCCGCCGCCGCCAUCUUCGACCUUCCUUCCUUCCUUGCCGUGCGCGCGGCCGUCAGGCAUUCUGUCGAACACCUACGGUGCGUACCGGAGUCGGCCAUCCAUCCACUCCUCUUCUUCUCCUCGGAGUAGGACUCCCUCCCGUAAUAAAAGUAUAAAACCAACUGCUCCUCUCCGUCUCCGUGUGUGCUCCAAUCCUGCCCUCCAAUCGAGUGUUCUUUCGUUUUGCUUGCACCAUUCUAACAUCUACUCCAGUUCAGAGGAUACACAACCACAGUAUGCAAGCAAGACUGAAAGAAACAUCUCCCGGUGCUUCGGCUGUUCGCUAACCAGUCAGGAUUUUUCUUCUCCCGGUGCAGUGCGGAAGGUUAGUUAG